rnacentral:rRNA from 1 species
GAUGAACGCUAGCUACAGGCUGAACACAUGCACGUCGAGGGACCUGCGCACGGGUGAGUAACACGUAUCCAACCUGCCCUUUACUCGGUGAUAGCCUUUCGAACGAAAGAUUAAUACCCGCUAUAAAGUAUGGGGAUGCGGUCCAUUAGGUUGUUGGUGAGGUAACGGCUCACCAAGCCUUCGAUGGCUAGGGGUUCUGAGAGGAAGGGCACCCACAUUGGAACUGAGACACGGUCCAAAGUCCUACGGGAGGCAGCAGUGAGGAAUAGUGGUGAAUGGGCGAUAGCCUGAACCAGCCAAGUAGCGGGAAGGAUGAAGGCGGAUUGGUCGUAAAAUUCUUUUAUAUAAGAAUAUGUAUUAUAUGAAUAGGGAUCGGCUAACGCCGUGCCGGCCGCCGCGGUAAUUC